rnacentral:rRNA from 1 species
GACGAACGCUGGCGGCGUGCUUAACACAUGCAAGUCGAACGGAAAGGCCCUGCUUUUGUGGGGCGCUCGAGUGGCGAACGGGUGAGUAACACGUGCGUAACCUGCCCUUGACUUUGGGAUAACUUCAGGAAACUGGGGAUCAUACCGGAUAGGAGCUCCUGCUGCAUGGUGGGGGUUGGAAAGUUUCGGCGGUUGGGGAUGGACUGGCGGCUUAUCAGCUUGUUGGUGGAGUAGUGGCUUACCAAGGUUUUGACGGGUAGCCGGCCUGGGAGGGUGACCGGCGACAAGAGGACUGAGAGAGGGACCAGACGCGUACGGGAGGCAGCAGGGGAAAAUAUUGCACAAUGGUCGGGAGUCUGAUGCAACAACCCCGCGUUCGGGAUGACGUCCUUCGGGUUAUGAACCGCUUUCGCCUGUGACGAAGCGUUAGUGACGGUAAUGGAUAAAGAAGCACCGGCUAACUACGUG